rnacentral:misc_RNA from 1 species
GAUGAAGAACGUAGCGAAAUGCGAUAAGUAAUGUGAAUUGCAGAAUUCAGUGAAUCAUCGAAUCUUUGAACGCACAUUGCGCCCGCCAGUAUUCUGGCGGGCAUGCCUGUUCGAGCGUCAUUUCAACCAUCAAGCCCCGGGCUUGUGUUGGGGACCUGCGGCUGCCGCAGGCCCUGAAAUGCAGUGGCGGGCUCGCUGUCACUCCGAGCGUAGUAGUUACAUCUCGCUCUGGGCGUGCUGCGGGUUCCGGCCGUUACAAGCCUUAUUUACCCAAGGUUGACCUCGGAUCAGGUAGGAAGACCCGCUGAACUUAAGCAUAUCAAUAAGCGGAGGA